rnacentral:rRNA from 1 species
AGAGUUUGAUCCUGGCUCAGGACGAACGCUGGCGGCGCGCCUAACACAUGCAAGUCGAACGAGCGAGAGAGAGCUUGCUUUCUCGAGCGAGUGGCGAACGGGUGAGUAACGCGUGAGGAACCUGCCUCAAAGAGGGGGACAACAGUUGGAAACGACUGCUAAUACCGCAUAAGCCCACAGGUCGGCAUCGACCAGAGGGAAAAGGAGCAAUCCGCUUUGAGAUGGCCUCGCGUCCGAUUAGCUAGUUGGUGAGGUAACGGCCCACCAAGGCGACGAUCGGUAGCCGGACUGAGAGGUUGAACGGCCACAUUGGGACUGAGACACGGCCCAGACUCCUACGGGAGGCAGCAGUGGGGAAUAUUGCACAAUGGGGGAAACCCUGAUGCAGCGACGCCGCGUGGAGGAAGAAGGUCUUCGGAUUGUAAACUCCUGUUGUUGAGGAAGAUAAUGACGGUACUCAACAAGGAAGUGACGGCUAACUACGUGCCAGCAGCCGCGGUAAAACGUAGGUCACAAGCGUUGUCCGGAAUUACUGGGUGUAAAGGGAGCGCAGGCGGGAAGACAAGUUGGAAGUGAAAUCUAUGGGCUCAACCCAUAAACUGCUUUCAAAACUGUUUUUCUUGAGUAGUGCAGAGGUAGGCGGAAUUCCCGGUGUAGCGGUGGAAUGCGUAGAUAUCGGGAGGAACACCAGUGGCGAAGGCGGCCUACUGGGCACCAACUGACGCUGAGGCUCGAAAGUGUGGGUAGCAAACAGGAUUAGAUACCCUGGUAGUCCACACCGUAAACGAUGAUUACUAGGUGUUGGAGGAUUGACCCCUUCAGUGCCGCAGUUAACACAAUAAGUAAUCCACCUGGGGAGUACGA